rnacentral:rRNA from 1 species
GGGGGAAUUUUCCGCAAUGGGCGAAAGCCUGACGGAGCAAUACCGCGUGAGGGAAGACUGCCUAUGGGUUGUAAACCUCUUUUUUCAGGGAGGAAUAAAAUGACGUGUACCUGAAGAAUAAGCAUCGGCUAACUCCGUG